CCCACUAGAUUAGCUAGACACAGAGUACUGAUUGGUGCAUUUACAAACCUCUAGCUAGACACAGAGUGCUGAUUGGUGGAUUCACAAACCUUUAGCUAGACACAGAGUGCUGAUUGGUGCAUUCACAAUCCUCCAGGUAGACAGAAAAGUUCUCCAAGUCCCUACCCGUCCCAGAAGCCCAGCCGGCUUCACCUCUCACUGGCACUCGCCUGUGGCGCCUAGCCCGGGCACUCCGGCAGCCCAGUUGGAGCUCCUCCCGCAAUCAAGCCCAGCAGCUGCUGGCCAGCCACGCCCAGUGUGGGGCCGCCAAGCCCCCGCCCACCCGGAACUCUUGAAGGCCUGUGAGCGCCACCAGAAGCCCCGGCUCCCGCAGGCGCCUCUCGCUCCACACCUCCACGCAAGCAGAGGGAGUCGGCUCCAGCCUCGGCCAGCCCCAGAGAGGGGCCCCCACAGUGCAGUGGCGGCCAGAGCGGAUGCCGAGGCCCAGGAGAGGCCGAGAGUGAGCGAGGGCUGCUAGCACGUUGUCACCUCUCACUAGCACCAGAAGAGGUGGAGAUGGUCCAUAUUUACAACAUUUGUUGCAGACAAUGAGACAAAUUUAGUCCAUACUCCACAAAUUGCCAGAAGUAAUGUUAUUUGACCCAACAGGAGGGAGAAAGCGGAAUUUGUGUGGAGAGUAAGAUGCUGAUGUUUGGAUGUGCAGAGAAGAGUUUCCAUAUAGCAGGAAAAGGCCUUUUUCCUUUCUCUCCAGCUUGUAAGGAAG
rnacentral:lncRNA from 10 species